AUGGCUCGCGUGGCACUGCUCGCCGUGUUCGCCGUGCUCGCCGCACUGGCGGUGGCGGAGAUGGCGUCCGGGGCGGUGACCUGCGGCGACGUGACGUCCGCCGUCGCGCCGUGCAUGUCCUACGCGACGGGGCAAGCGUCGGCGCCCUCGGCGGGGUGCUGCAGCGGGGUGAGGACCCUGAACGCCAAGGCGUCCACCUCGGCCGACCGGCAGGCGGCGUGCCGCUGCCUCAAGAAGCUGGCCGGGUCGGGCAUCAGCAUGGGUAACGCCGCCAACAUCCCCGGCAAGUGCGGUGUCUCCGUCUCUUUCCCCAUCAACACCAAAGUCGACUGCAACAC
rnacentral:rRNA from 1 species